AUUGAACGCUGGCGGCAGGCUUAACACAUGCAAGUCGAACGCGUGGCGGACGGGUGAGAAAUGCUUGGGAGUCUAGCUUAUGGAGGGGGAUGACUACUGGAAACUGUAGCUAAUACCGAGUACCAUAGGAUGAGCCGAAGUGGGAUUAGGUAUUUGGUGAGGUAAAGGCUAACAUAGGCGACGAUCUCUAGCUGGUCUGAGAGGAGGAUGAGCCACACUGUGAGUGAGACACGGCCCAGACGCCUACGGGAGGCAGAAGUGGGGAAUAUUGCACAAUGGGCGCAAGCCUGAUGCAGCCAUGCCGCGUGUAUGAAGAAGGCCUUAGGGUUGUAAAGUACUUUCAGCGGGGAGGCGUUACCCGCAGAAGAAGCACCGGCUAACUCCGUGCCAGCAGCCGCGGUAAUAC
rnacentral:rRNA from 1 species